rnacentral:lncRNA from 1 species
GAAUCACAAAACCUCUCCUGCUAAGCCACUCUUCCCACAGGUGACUCUACAAUCUGAGACAAUGUGUACUUGUUGGAAGGACCUUCACAGCAUAUAGCUCAACAGGCAAAACCCUCUCUGGGAAUGUGAUUCUUCCUGGCAAAGCAGGCAUGAACAGAGACGAAGAAUGCCAAUACCCUCUUGACCAUCAAGAUAUGCCAAAACCACUUUAGAGAAUAUUGGAAUAAAGUGCCUGAGAACAGAUCACCCAAGAAAAAGGCCUCUCAGCAUAUUGAUUGGCUAGAAAACACUGCUGAGAGCUAGUAUAUGACUCUUAACAAACACAUUCCAUUGCAGGAGGAGUGUGUGGGCUUCUGAGACCCUACACAAGAUAAGUUACAUGGAACAAAGGCUGAAAUAGUCAAUAAACCUGACCUUGUGACAGGAGGCCAUCAGGAAGCUCUGCGUGACUUUUGUCCAGGAAUAGCCAAUUCCCCCUCUUGGUUCUCUAUACAGUGGAGAACAUAUAUAUCCCCCUGAUUAAAGGCUCUGAAAGGAUAGUCUUAGCUGAUGCCUCCAAGAGAAAGUUGUUCUUCUGUCAACAAAGUCACCACCAUGAAAUUCAACUGGAGAAGCUUUGGCAACUUAGCCUAUUCACUUUUCACUCUUACACCCUCCCAGCAUUCUCUCUCUGGCCUGUGUCUACAUAAUAAAGUUGUUGAAGCAGUGUCUCUGA